AACGAACGCUGGCGGCAGGCCUAACACAUGCAAGUCGAACGCUGUAGCAAUACAGAGUGGCAGACGGGUGAGUAACGCGUGGGAAUCUUCCUAUCGGUACGGAAUAGCUCAGGGAAACUUGGGGUAAUACCGCAUACGCCCUUCGGGGGAAAGAUUUAUCGCCGAAAGAGGAGCUCGCGUCUGAUUAGCUAGUUGGUGAGGUAAUGGCUCACCAAGGCGACGGUCAGGAGCUGGCCUGAGAGGAUGACCAGCCACCCUGGGGUUGAAACGAGGCCGAGGCUCCUACGGGGGGGAGGAGUGGGGAAUAUUGGACAGUGGGGGCAAGCCUGAUCCAGCCAUGCGGCGUGAGUGACGAAGGUCUUCGGAUUGUAAGGCUCGUUGGCGGCGACGAUAAUGACGGUACCCGCAGAAUAAGCCCCGGCUAACUUCGUGCCAGCCGCCGCCGUAAUAC
rnacentral:rRNA from 1 species